AGAGCAUCCAGUGCUGCCUGAGGAUGCACAGGAGAGAGCCACAGCUCGAUUUUGGGCAAAAUUCGCCGAGGAUAAGUAGGGCUCAUGUAUAUGGGCAAUGUUCCGUUCUAGUGGUGAAAAAGUAGAGAAGGCUAAGAAGGAAAGCUUGGAAAUGCUGAGAACCAUAGAAGAACAUGGGCUUGGAGAGAAGAAAUUUUUUGGUGGUGACACAAUUGGGUUUGCGGACUUGGCCUUCGGUGGGAUUGCUCACUGGUUGGGAGUAAUGGAAGAUGUUGUGGGGGUGAAGUUGUUGGAAGCUCAAUCUUUCCCUCGUUUGUAUGAAUGGACUCAAAAUUUCAAGGAAGUGCCUGUGAUCAAAGACAACCUGCCUGAUCCUGAGAAGAUGCUUGUCUUCUUCAAACGCUUGAGGGAGAAGUUUCUGGCAUCUGCAUAACCACUACCAUCCAUUGUAUUUCUGUUCUGUUCUAUUCUGCAAGUGUUUUCUGUUUCUGCUUACUACAUUUGAGCUUUUAA